CAGAGAGAGAGAGAGAGAGAGAAGGGGGAAAGUGAGAAAGAAAGGAUGAAUGUGACAGGUGGGAAGAGAGAGAGAGAGAGAGAGAGAGAGAGAGAGAGAGAAGAAAGAAAGAAAGAAAGCAGUGCAAUUUACUUAGACUUGAGUAUUUCAACAACUCUUGUCUUUCAACUUGUUAGACAAUCACAUGUACCUACGGGGGAAGGAUGGCCAGCCACACAGGAGGGUGAUUUUCACUGAGGAGGAGGCCGCGCUGACCGAGAUGCAUGCUGGCCAUUUCGGUGUGAAGCACAUGAUUGCCAAAAUCAACCUACGCUUCUUCUGUCGUGGGAUUGUCAAGGAUGUGGACAGCUGGGUCAGUACCUGUCUAGCCUGACAGAAGUUUGUGAGGGUGAAGAUUGUGGGCGCUGGAGUUGUUUCACCAUGGCACAUGAUCGGUAAGAGUCACAUUUCAAAUUUUGCCCUGAUAAGUUGUUUUGUAAUGGUUGCUUCAUUUGAUCACAGCAGAGAUCAAUAUUAUAGAAUGUGUGUGUGUGUCAGUAUCCUUACAAAUAUGCAAACCUGCAUAAUGUAUGACAGAUACGGCUAAGAAGGAAGUAAUCUUCUCUCUAAGACUUGAAAUGUUAGGGGUGGACCUCAGACUCUUCACAAAAUCCAGGAAUAGCAACAGCUGGUGUCUAAAACAGCAACUGAUUACUUUACCAAGUGGGUGGAGGCAAUACCCAUUAAGGUCAGUAAAGGAAGAAAAUGUGCUUAACUCAAAAAUUCCCUUCUGUAACCCAUUAAAAAGGGUGCUUGGAACCAAACCUUUAUUUUCAUUUUGUAUGAUACCCAUCAAGGACCAGACUUACGAGGCCACCUCCAGGGCUUUGAUGGACAUCCUCAACACCCACAGUUCUCCUGAGGUCAUCUUAAGUGACCGAGGUCGUGAACUCUGGAAAAAGGUUUGGAUGAACGGACGAACCAGAUCCUCAAAACUGCCAUGGAGUUGACGGGUACCAGGAAUGGUGAGAGGACAACCUGAAGGUGUUCCCACUGCUUUUUGAGGGUCAGGACAGACUUCCGACUUCUGGAUGUCCUUCUAAGUGGGAUGUUUCCCUCGGCACAUCUCCAGACCUCUACUGAUGACCACUGAGUACAGAGACUGAUGGUACAGCACCUCGGUAGGA
rnacentral:lncRNA from 1 species